AUCUUUGCUAAACCAACGUGUGAAUACCCUGAGACAAAUCUGUGAUGGUGUGUGUGUGUACAGAUGUCAACAUGAGUUUGUCUUUUCACCUGUCUGCUGAAUAACUGAUAAACCCAAAGCGCUCCCUGUAUCAUAGACCUCCCAGCUGAAUAACUGAUAAACCCAAAGCGCUCCCUGUAUCAUAGACCUCCCAGGUGAAUAACUGAUAAACCCAAAGCGCUCCCUGUAUCACAGACCUCCCAGGUGAAUAACUGAUAAACCCAAAGCGCUCCCUGUAUCACAGACCUCCCAGGUGAAUAACUGAUAAACCCAAAGCGCUCCCUGUAUCACAGACCUCCCAGGUGAAUAACUGAUAAACCCAAAGCGCUCCCUGUAUCACAGACCUCCCAGGUGAAUAACUGAUAAACCCAAAGCGCUCCCUGUAUCACAGACCUCCCAGGUGAAUAACUGAUAAACCCAAAGCGCUCCCUGUAUCACAGACCUCCCAGCUGAAUAACUGAUAAACCCAAAGCGCUCCCUGUAUCACAGACCUCCCAGCUGAAUAACUGAUAAACCCAAAGCGCUCCCUGUAUCAUAGACCUCCCAGGUGAAUAACUGAUAAACCCAAAGCGCUCCCUGUAUCAUAGACCUCCCAGGUGAAUAACUGAUAAAC